rnacentral:rRNA from 1 species
GAUGAACGCUGGCGGCGUGCCUAAUACAUGCAAGUCGAACGAAACUUCUUUAUCACCGAGUGCUUGCACUCACCGAUAAAGAGUUGAGUGGCGAACGGGUGAGUAACACGUGGGCAACCUGCCCAAAAGGGGGGGAUAACACUUGGAAACAGGUGCUAAUACCGCAUAACCAUAGUUACCGCAUGGUAACUAUGUAAAAGGUGGCUAUACUACCGCUUUUGGAUGGGCCCGCGGCGCAUUAGCUAGUUGGUAGGGUAAAGGCUUACCAAGGCAAUGAUGCGUAGCCGAAUUGAGAGGUUGAUCGGCCACAUUGGGACUGAGACACGGCCCAAACUCCUACGGGAGGCAGCAGUAGGGAAUCUUCCACAAAGGGCGAAAGCCUGAUGGAGCAACGCCGCGUGGGUGAAGAAGGUCUUCGGAUCGUAAAACCCUGUUGUUAGAGAAGAAAGUGCGUGAGAGUAACUGUUCACGUUUCGACGGUAUCUAACCAGAAAGCCACGGCUAACUACGUG